AUUGAACGCUGGCGGCAUGCUUUACACAUGCAAGUCGAACGGCAGCACGGGCUUCGGCCUGGUGGCGAGUGGCGAACGGGUGAGUAAUAUAUCGGAACGUACCCAGAAGUGGGGGAUAACGUAGCGAAAGUUACGCUAAUACCGCAUACGAUCUAUGGAUGAAAGCAGGGGACCGCAAGGCCUUGUGCUCCUGGAGCGGCCGAUAUCUGAUUAGCUAGUUGGUGAGGUAAAGGCUCACCAAGGCGACGAUCAGUAGCUGGUCUGAGAGGACGACCAGCCACACUGGAACUGAGACACGGUCCAGACUCCUACGGGAGGCAGCAGUGGGGAAUUUUGGACAAUGGGCGCAGGCCUGAUCCAGCAAUGCCGCGUGAGUGAAGAAGGCCUUCGGGUUGUAAAGCUCUUUUGUCAGGGAAGAAACGGUAGAGGCUAAUAUCCUUUGCUAAUGACGGUACCUGAAGAAUAAGCACCGGCUAACUACGUG
rnacentral:rRNA from 1 species